CCCAGAUGUACAACUCAUCAAGAAUGUGAAGAGGAAGGGGAAACACUAUAAACACAUUUAUAACAUGUCAAAAAAUAUUUAAAAGCAUUUAAAAUAAUCAUAUUUAUAUAUUAGAUGAAAUGAGGGCUUAAAGCCAAAGCCUUAACUGCACAAUUAAACAAUGAAUAACAAAAAAUAUUUAAUUGUUGAUGAAAUGACCAGUCACCAUUUUUUAUACCAGUAUGUUAUUCAUUAUUUAUUUCUUUAUGUUGCAGAUUCCUUAAAGAAGCCAACAUGUGAGAUAAAUGGUUGAAGCAAUGAAAAGAGGGAAAGGAUGGACCCCUGAUGUGUAUGACUUUGUGAACAGCACACAUUUUAUUGAUGCAAACUUUAUGAUAUAAUGAAAAAUCUGAAACCCUCAGCUAUUCCUACAAUAUUUCAGUGUCAUAACGAUGCAGCUUCCUGGCCAGUUAAAAAGAAGAAAAAAUAAAGUCUUAAGGUGAAAGAAGAAAUUGUACAAUUCAAAGAGACUUCUGAUAUAUUAUAAAAAGAAAGUUCAAUGUUUACAAGAGGAGUUAUAGAAAAGCCACCUCACCUUAAACAGUUAUGAUGAUUUAUCUUUACAUCUGUUUGAGGAGCCUACAGGAAAUGCAAAUUAUACAGAUGAAAAAAUAUCCUUCACAAUAACAUUGCACUUUUA